AAGGCCCAGGGCGCCCCGCCUCUUACCGCACUAGCCAAUCAGCGGCGGGAUUUAGCCGGCUGUUCCGCGAGCGCGCCACCUCCCCGCCGCGCGCGGUGUGGCUGCCGCUUGGUCUUCCUGUCCCCCGUCUCCCCACCCCCGGGUAGGAAAUCUGGGGCUCCGCUACGCGGUGCAAACCGCAGACUGGAGGUUCUGUUUACAAGUUUGGAGAACAACGACAAGGAAUAGUCUCGGAGACCCUGCAUUAAGUAGCCGCCUCGCCGAGAAGGCAGAGUUGGGGACUGACGACUACCUGCCAUGUUUCUAAAGCCAGAGGACUUCCGCUUUACUUACCCGUUUAAAAACCUUCAACACAGGGACUUAACUUUAACUCAGCAGUUAAGACAGCUUGCCCUUGCAGGGGACAGACGUUGGAUCCCUGGUGCCCACAUGGAGUUUCCAGAAGAUCUGGUGCCCUCUUCUGACCUCUAUAGGCGCCGAGCAUGCAGGAAGUGGUAUCCCCAGGUGUAGCUGUUCCUACUGCGUGAUCCAGGAGAAAGUCCAGGGCAGCCCUUUCGAGUCAGACACCUGGAGAAUUGGCCCACGUUGGCUCUCACUGUGUACCUGAGAUUCCCCCCACACCCCUCCGAAACAGCUGCUUUCCAGAUGACGAAAUAAUCAUUCUAGUCUUAACAGGUUAGAACACUGCUGGCCGUUUUGCCGAUAGGGUAAAAUGUAAAACAAGAAAUACAAAGACUUGCAUUGGGUUUGACCGAAAGGGCCAGGCCAUGACAAGCAUCCCUUCAAUCACUGGAAAUCAACCAGGAGAAUCGGGUAAGAAGAAAUUGUGCUUUACCAUGCCUGAACUGGUAUGUAGACAAAAGGAAGUCCAUGGUGGUGAGGAACCUAGGAGCCAUGCUGCACAACAAAUAAUGAAGACACUGGACUAACUUGUGAUUCAUGAUGGUGAGGGGAAAGACUCCUAGAAAGCGUUCUGAAUCUCUCGUUUCAGGAACAUUUAUUUUUCCUUGGAAAAACAACAACCAAGAUCAUUCCUAUUCCUUAUCUACCCCUUCUUGUAUUCUGUCAUUCUCUUAUGUUAAUCGGCCACACCUAUCUUGUUGCAUUAUGUCCGUUAGUAAAUAAAUAUUUACGGCAGCUAGGAAUAGAAGCAUGCAAAUAGAAAUGCCACCAGGCAAGGCGAAUGGAUAGAUACAGCAUCUACACAGUCCUUCACCCAAUGUGGGACUUUCAGCGGCCACCAUGCUCGCCUGUUUUCUGCUCCUCCCUGCAAUGCAGCUGCGUACUGACUUCCUUAACAGAUGGAGGGAACGUUUCCCUCAACCUUUGAAUCUGGGCCGGCCUGUGACUUGUUUUGAACAGUAUCAGGCAACAGAUAAGACGUUGUAUCAGUUGGAGGCCUGUUAUGUCUGGGCAAGUGAGGUCAGCCUUUUGAGGGAUGAAGGAAAAUGGGCCACUGUGGGGUCAGUACUGUUCUCCAGGGGUCAGCCUUAGAUUUGUGUGAACACUCAGGUGAGAACAGACCGGCCUGACCCAGAUGAGAGAGCAUUGGCUAGUCUUUAGCCAGCAGGGGUAAAUGACUGUUUUGCCACAUUGAACUGGGGAACAAGUUGCCUUUAUUGUACAUGUGUUACAUGUUCUAUGUUAUAUACCAGAUCACUGAUACAGAUCUUACGGAGAGGCGGGGAGCAGAGAAUAUCAAAACUGAAUUCUAAACCAAAAAUCCUCAAGUGGAACAAGCCUAUUUCCCAUCCCCAAGGCAUUUGGUCUGGAACAUCUCUUCAAGGAAUGCCUUACCCUGUAUGUGCCUAUGACUUGCUCAUCAAAAGACUAGACAGGUAUGAGAUAUGGGGUAUUUCUUCACAGCCUUGAUCUGUUUCAACAUGGUAGCUAAAUAUCCAGCAAAUAAAUGUACAGCAAAAUGUU